rnacentral:misc_RNA from 1 species
AACCUAGCACACCUGCGGUGUGUACCUGCGGAAGGAUCAUUACUGUUAACUCUUAUAAACACCAGAGUUUUUAAACUCUGUGUUUGCAAACAAAAACACCUUUUAAAAAUAGCUUUUGAGUGUCUGAAUUAACCUAGUUAAUACAAAAACAACUUUCAACAACGGAUCU